rnacentral:rRNA from 1 species
GACGAACGCUGGCGGCGUGCCUAAUACAUGCAAGUCGAACGGAAAGGUCCUGCUCUUGCUGGGCUCUCGAGUGGCGAACGGGUGAGUAACACGCGAGUAACCCCUCCCUGACUUUGGGAUAAAUCUAGGAAACUGGGGCUCAAAUCCGGUAGGAGCUCCUGCUGCACGGUGGGGGGUGGAAAGGUUCGGCGGUUGGGGAUGGACUCGCGGCUUAUCCGCUUGUUGGUGGGGUAGUGGCUUACUAAGGCUUUGACGGGUAGCCGGCCUGAGAGGGUGACCGGCCACAUUGGGACUGAGAUACGGCCCAGACUCCUACGGGAGGCAGCAGUGGGGAAUAUUGCACAAUGGGCGGAAGCCUGAUGCAGCAACGCCGCGUGCGGGAUGACGGCCUUCGGGUUGUAAACCGCUUUCGCCUGUGACGAAGCGUGAGUGACGGUAAUGGGUAAAGAAGCACCGGCUAACUACGUG